UCUCCGUAGGUGAACCUGCGGAGGGAUCAUUACUGAGCGAGGGCCUCCCCGGCCCGACCUCCAACCCUUUGUGAACACAACUUGUUGCUUCGGGGGCGACCCUGCCGUUUCGACGGCGAGCGCCCCCGGAGGCCUUCAAACACUGCAUCUUUGCGUCGGAGUUUAAGUAAAUUAAACAAAACUUUCAACAACGGAUCUCUUGGGUCUGGCAUCGAAGAAAAACGCAGC
rnacentral:misc_RNA from 1 species